GAGGGUAUAGCUCAGUGGUAGAGUGCAUGCCUAGCAUGCACGAGGUCCUGGGUUCCAACCACAGUACCUCCA
rnacentral:tRNA from 1 species